GGAGAGAUGGCUCAGUGGUUAAGAGCACUGGCUGCUCUUCCAGAGAUCUUGAGUUCAAUUCCCGAUACUCCCA
rnacentral:tRNA from 1 species